rnacentral:ncRNA from 2 species
CUUAAAAACUAGGGGAGCUCUGUUAGGGCUGAGAAAGGGAUGGAAUCUCUUGACCCUUUGAACCUGAUCUGGUUAGUACUAGCGCAGGAAAGUUGUCUUUAAUUUUA